rnacentral:rRNA from 1 species
UACGAAGGGGGCUAGCGUUGCUCGGAAUUACUGGGCGUAAAGCGCACGUAGGCGGUCUUUUAAGUCGGGGGUGAAAUCCUGGAGCUCAACUCCAGAACUGCCUUCGAUACUGGAAGACUUGAGUCCGGGAGAGGUGAGUGGAACUGCGAGUGUAGAGGUGGAAUUCGUAGAUAUUCGCAAGAACACCAGUGGCGAAGGCGGCUCACUGGCCCGGUACUGACGCUGAGGUGCGAAAGCUAGGGGAGCGAACGGG